UAUUAUGUUUUUUUAAGACAAUUCAACAGAAAAUAUCCCAUGAUGCAGCAGUAUACAUGACAUAUCCCCCUUGUCCCCUUAUCCACCCCUAAACAAUGUCAAUUUCAUCCUUAUCAAACGGAUGCUCCACCCGGCUGGCUAGACAAAGACAAACUACAUAAGAUGAACAUGAUAGAAAAAUUGUGUAAAAUAAUAACACUAGUAAUUGUUAUUAUUACCAUAUCUGUCACCGUCAUUAAAUAAGCAGUUACAAGCACAUAUAAUGCCAGUAUGCAACAUGCACCAAUAUGUUAUAUCUUCAUGACACAAGUGUGAUAUGUUACUCAUGCCAGCUAUGCCACAUCAUGCUUCCUGGCAGAGAUCCUGGCUUUGACAUCAUCAGGGUUAUUUUCUCAGACUUUAGAAAGCUCCCUGCACAGCUGUUUGAGCAGCACUCGCUAUGAUGAGUAAACUAAACUUCAUGUUUCAUUAAAUAGCCACAAAUGAAUUGCCUCGCAGUGAACCCUGGGCCUUUGGGCCCCCUGAGGAUCUAUGGCCCUGGGGCAGUUGCCCACUUUGCCUAGUUGGUAAUCCAGCCUCGCAUAUUCCCAAUUUGCAUAUUCAAUUACGUUACCACAGAGCAGUUGCCACACAGUAAGCCUGGAGCUUUCGGGGCCCCUGGAGUCCUGGGGCUGUUGCCCAGUUGGAAUUCCAGCCUUGGGCUCAUGGUUAUAGUAAAGUCAUUAGAAUAAAAGCAGGUUUUCAGAAGUUAUUUAAAAGAUGAUACCGAUCUGGUCUCAGUAAUGCUCUGAAAACAUUUCAAAUCAGACCUUAAUGCAUCUUAGCUGUUUGAUUUAAUGACCUAAAUAAAAACGCAAAGAAGAAGUCUAGCCUCUAAAUGGGCUUCUUUAUCUUUACCAUCUUGCUUAUGUUGCUGUGUGCGCAGGGGGGCAGUGUUUGGUUGUUAAUUGGCUCUCUCAUGUAGUGCAGGCUGCUGCUGAUUGGCCGCCUGUGGAACAUCUGUAUCCAUAGUUCCAGUUGCGCGUUUCUCCGGCCGGAAAGCUGCCCAUGGCUCAGGGGCCGGAGAGCGUUACACUGGGCAUAGCUUCGUUAUCACGCUGCCCUCUGUUGCACAGAACGGGAUUAAGCACAUUUCAAUUAACAACAUACAGUUUGUGUGGAAUCCAGGCCUACACAUCGUGCCAGAUAUUUGGAACAUAUUAUUUCAUAUUCUCUUAAGCGGGGUGGAAAAGUUAUGGGGCCCCCGAAGGAAGACGAAUGAAUGAGUGGCCUUCCGGCUGGUUACAAACGCAGCUUCAUAAUUAUGUCACACAACAGCACGUCUUGACGAGGAAGGCAGAGCCAAAUAGGGUUGUUUUUUUUGUUUUUUUUUCUCGAGUGCUUUAUUCCAAGUAGCCCCGAGGACGUGCGUGAAGCCCAUCCCACUCCGUUCCCUAAAUCCGCCGCGCCUGCUGGAACGCAGGAGCCGUUUGGCGCUGGGUCUGCCGGCUCCCUCGCAUUCAGCCUGCCCCUGUAACCUCCAGGUAUGCAGCUGCCCCUUUUGUAGGCAUCGCGGCAGACACAAAGGAAGUCGCUGCACUUUUUUUUCCUCCCAACCCCUUCUAUUUUUAAGGUGACCGACUUCAUCAGCGCUCCGUCGGCCGCUGGCCAGUCUGUGUGGCGGCAGGCAACGUGAACAUCGCUCUCUGCGCGGGGCUCCGGCUGUAUGUGUUUCACCGAGGGCGGUCAGCACCGGCUUAAAUGGACUAUUGAUAAGUUUCUAAUCAGAUUGAUGGUCGUUGAGUCGACAGAGGGGAGCAAAUCGGCCGCGAGCGAGCUGCUCUCUUAAUGGACCGCUGAAUUGUUUAAUGACACGGCGAUGAAUGUUGUGAUUUCUCUCCCGUGAUACAAGAUAGCUUAUCUGGAGCCGCAGCAGCUGCCCGCCUGUCGCUUUUAUGCAUAGCCUUUGCAGGGUCAAGAUGCAGUUUCGGACUGUGCUGGACGUGAAAGUCGUGGACGUGGAGAAGAGGCGCAGUCCGUCUAAACACUACGUUUAUCUCAUCAAUGUCACCUACUCUGACAACACCUCCCACAUCAUCUACAGAAGAUACAGCAAAUUCUUUGACCUACAGAUGCAGAUACUUGACAAGUUCCCAAUUGAGGGAGGGCAGAAAGACCCAAAGAAGAGGAUCAUCCCAUUCCUUCCAGGCAAAAUCCUGUUCCGGAGGAGUCAUGUGCGAGAUGUGGCCAUGAAGCGUCUGCGUUUCAUUGACGACUACUGCAGGGCGCUAGUGCGACUCCCCCCGCAGAUUUCUCAGAGUGAGGAGGUGCUGCGCUUCUUUGAGACAAAAGCCGAGGACAUCAACCCCCCAGUGGAGGACUAUGGCUCCAAGCGCAAGUCGGUAUGGAUGUACGGUUUUACAGACAGCCCGAGGAAAGAGGCCUCAGGGAUUGACAGCUCGGAGCCCAUGGUGCUGGAGCAGUACGUGGCCGUGGCCAACUACGAGAGGCAGGAGAACUCGGAGAUCAGCCUAAAGGCCGGCGAGACGGUGGACGUGAUUGAGAAGAGCGAAAGUGGUUGGUGGUUUGUCAGCACAGCAGAAGAGCAGGGCUGGGUGCCGGCCACAUACCUGGACUCCCAGAAUGUAACCAGAGAUGAUUUGGAUCUCGGCACUUCCAGGACUGGAGAAGUUACUAAGAGACGCAAGGCGCAUCUGAAGAGGCUGGACCGCCGCUGGACCCUCGGGGGUAUAGUCAACCGCCAGCAGAGCAGAGAGGAGAAAUAUGUCACGAUACAGCCGCACACCAGUCAAGGGAAGGAUGAAGUCAGCUUUGAGAAAGGGGUCACCGUGGAGGUCAUCCAAAAGAACCUGGAGGGCUGGUGGUACAUCAGAUAUUUAGGGAAAGAGGGCUGGGCCCCUGCCUCCUACUUGAAAAAGGUGAAAGAGGACUUCUGCCCUCGCAAGAAGACCCUGACAGGCCCCGUGGAGAUCAUCGGCAACAUCAUGGAGAUCAGCAACCUUUUGCAAAAGAAGUCGGUCAGCGAGAAAGACAUCCAGACAGACGGAGAGGGUAGCACCACACCGGAGCGCCACAUCUCCAAGAGCGAGAUCAGCCUGCCCAUGCCCUAUAACUCUGAAAUCAACGCUGAGACGGGCCGGAGGCUGAGCGCAGGCCGUGACACCAACAGCCCUUGUCUGGGAAUAGCAGCGAGUGCUGCCCUAAAUGAAAAUAAAGGGAGAGGCGAGCCAGGGUCUCCAGCUGUUGCAAGAGUGGCACCGCAUAGAGUGGAAAUUGGCUUUGAUGCUAUAGGGUCUCCGAAUCUGAGACAAAAACCUCCCCCGAGAAGAGAAACCAACUUGGGAUUCCAGUUACCCAAGCCACCAGAGCCCCCUGCUGUGGAAGCAGAGUAUUACACUAUAGCAGAUUUCCAGUCCUCGAUCUCUGAUGGCAUCAGUUUCCGUGGAGGACAAAAGGCUGAUGUGAUAGAGAAGAACCCUGGAGGCUGGUGGUAUGUGCAGAUUGGAGAGAUGGAGGGAUGGGCCCCCUGCUCCUACAUCGACAAGCGGAAGAAGCCUAACCUCAACCGUCGGACCAGCACCCUGACCCGACCCAAAGUCCCCCCCCCAGCUCCACCUGUCAAGAAACAAGACUCCGAGGAGGCUCCCCCUCCUGCUAACUCUGCCUCUAAAGUCUCUGAGCCGCAGAGCAGGCCUGUGUACGAGGAGCCUGAAUAUGAUGUCCCUGCAAUUGGAUGCGAAGGUGAAUUGGACGCAGAUUCCCUGAAGGAUGAGCGCGUCCUGGAUGUGAAGAUCAGCAGCGUGGUCAGCGACAAGUACUGCAGCGCCCCUCCUUCCUGCAAGGCCUCUCCUGUCUGCAAAGCGUCCCCUGUGUUCACUCAUCGAAGAGCUUCCUUCAGGUCUGUAGAGGAGGUUGCAAAAGAGGAGUGUAUCUAUGAGAACGACGGCUUCAGGCGAAGCAGUGGCGUUGAAGGAACUUCAGUCAAAGGUUCCAGUGAGCCGAAUUCCCCAAGGAGCUACCAUUCCUCCACAGUCCCACGCAAACCCUCUGGAUCUUCACCUUUAGCUGGUAGACCCAUGAAGACCAUGACACCAGAGAUGAACCGGAGAAGCCAGACCCUGGGCAGACAUGUAGAUAUCAGCCUCAGGUUGCAGGACAACAGCCCCCACUCUUCAUCAGAUGAAUUGAGCAGAGGCCCCAAGAAAGGCCCUGCCUUCAGCCGGGAUGUGGAGCAGAGAAUAGGCCAGAGCCCCUCCACCAGGCCCAAGCCUUCUGUAAGACCUAAACCACUCCUGACCAAAUCAGAGCCCCAGAGUCCUGAGAGGAUGGACAUCAGCUCUCUGAGACGGCAGCUGAGGCCUACAAGUCAGUUUCGACAUGGCAUCAAACCUGCUCGUGGGGACGACUCUGAAACAGCCUCUGUUAUCUCAUCAGAGGACUCAGUGUGUUCGCGCAGUACCUCAGAUCUCUCUUCUGUUUACUCCAAAGGGAGCCGUGGUGACUCAGACGUGGAGGGCCCCAGUCUCUACCGCUCCCUGGACGCCUAUAAGAAGGUCCAGGACUCUGAGGUCAGCUUUCCAGCCGGGGUUGAGGUCGAGGUUCUGGAGAAGCAGGAAAGCGGUUGGUGGUACAUCCGUUGGGGAUCUGAGGAGGGCUGGGCUCCCUCGUACUACCUGGAACCUGUCAGACAAGUGGGUGAUGCAGGUGGGUUAGAAUCAGAUGGACACGGCAGUGGUGGUAGUAAGUCUAACAGCCUGGAGAAAAACGAGCAGCAUGUUUUGGCCCUCAAUAACAUCAAUAUUCAGGGUCUGAGCCAGCAGCAUCAAGGCUUGAGGAGGAACACUCCGCCGAUUCCUUCCAAGCCUCCUGGUGGCUUCUCGAAGCCGUCCGGGAUGGUUAACGGAGGAGUUAGGAUGAGAAACGGGGUACGCCAGGUGGCGGUGAGGCCUCAGUCUGUAUUUGUGACCACAACACAGCCAGCCAAAGAUGCGCACUACAUGACAGGGUCUCUGAGGCGAAACGACUCGCUUGGCAGAAGUGAUCACUAUGGCUCUGGUUCUGCCACUCUUGGUGUCCGCCGAAAUGCUUCCUUCAGCACCGUACGGCCACAUGUAGUCGUUGAAAGUCAGACAAGGCCUGCCGAGCGCUGCAGCCUGGGGUCCUCGGGGAGCUCAUUCAGCACAAGCAAUGUCCAGGACGCCCUUAGCAGAGUGAACCAACGCAACGGCAUCCCUGUGUCUACAGUCCGACCCAAGCCCAUAGAGAAGAGCCAGCUGAUCCACAACAACCUUGGCAGGGAUGUGUACGUAUCCAUCGCUGACUAUCGAGGCGAUGAGGAAACUAUGGGUUUCACUGAGGGCACCUGUCUGGAGGUUUUGGAGAGAAACCCCAAUGGAUGGUGGUACUGCCAGGUGCAGGACAGCCUGCUUCCCCGCAAGGGCUGGGUCCCAUCCAACUACCUAGAGCGAAAAAAAUAAAAAGCACCCCGCAUCCUUUGGCUACCCUUCCCUUUCCCCAUCUCCCCAUUUUGAUGUCUUCAAGGACAUGGGUGGCAUUACUCCUUAAGAAUGUUACCCGCAGUCUCCCGUAAGCAAUAUGUCCUUGAAAAUGUACAUUUAUGAAAAGACUGUGUGUAAAAAGAAAGCUGUUUUAAUCCGAUAAGGAAGGACACUUUUAGUGCUGGUUUACUAAAAUGUAUACGAAGAGGAGUGUAAAAAUUUUUAAUAUUUUGGCUGGGAAAGAGAGACAGAAAGGUGGGAUUGCUCACCCUGGAAAUUUGAGGAGGACAGUGUCUUUCAGAUAUAAAAUGGUAUGAAUGGGAGUGAUAACCUCUUAAAGAGGUUUGCAUCAUGUAAUACAGAAGUCGAGCAGGGUAAUGGCUAUGCUUAUUCCUGCCCAUCACUGACUAUGAUGGCCGAUAAGUGCCUUUUGUAUUUGUUCACCUGAAUGGUCCUAAAUGGUGGAUGGUAAAACAUUAAAUCAACCAAAUCUUUUAAAAGUGCCAUAGGCCUAUGAACACCACCAGGAGUAUUUCCAUAACCAAUUAAGAGCUCCACUUUAGAGUGCAAACAAAGUGCAAGGUUUUGAUCUAGAGGGCUUUAAUUGGUCCAACACAGAUUAAAGAAAGUAAAACAGAGAUUUAAGGGACUCGAGUCAGCAGAGAAUUUAUUCGUUUUAAGCCACAAGUCAUCAAGCAAACUAAAACUUUUAAUCUCGUUAUCAGUAUUUUUAUUUAGUUUCAUUGUUCGUGUUAUAAUGUCUUGUGUUGGUGCGAGUCUUCCUUAGAGAAUUAUUUCUGCGUUCUUGUGACAUCCGUUUUCCACCAGCAGCCUAGAAUUGGGAAAGUUAAAGCUCCUGCCUCAUGUCUUGUACAAUCAGACACUGGCAAAAUAUACAGUAGGUGCUCAGGUUUGAUACUUUGGCAUAGUUUUAGAUCCUCAAGCCCCAGAAAAAUAUGGUACGGUAAUAUUCAUGUUUUUAAUCCCAGAUGUAACUAUCUAGGAUAACAAAUGUAUAAAAAAACCUGUGAAACUUGAAAAAAACAGUCGGAUAUUUUAGUUUCUUUGAAAAUCAAAGGAACAACUUGUAACUUCAGUGCUCUCCAGAGAAGAAACCCCCUCAUAUCUGGUUAGUUAAUAACCUCAAAAGAUUAAAACAAUUAGUUUACAAAGGUUUAGGUUUACUGUAGUGCUUUUAGUUCCAGGAACAGUUGAUUUUGUAUAUGUUUUGUUUUGUAUACAUAUAAUAAUACCGCUGUUGCGUAGAUGCUUUGAAUAAUUACUGGAAAUUAGGGGAAAUAAUUGUAUCCCAGGUACAUAUUUGCAAAGCAUUUAACCCAAAAUAUGAUCAAAACAAAGAGAAAUGUCAUUUCAUUCGCUUUCGAUUUGUGAUUUUACUAUUUAUUUAUAUAAAAGUAAUACAGUGUAAUCAACAAAAUGCCUAAAACAAGGUUUCUGAACGGGGAAAAAAAUCUAUGAAACAAGAAGUAAACAAGUAAAAUGAGAUAAUCUGUGCAGUAUGCGUUUUGACAUCAAAUAGAGGACAACAUAGUGUAUUACCUUGUUUCAAAGUUGAGGUAUUUUUUUCCAAAUUAUAGUUGGGUUUCAUAUCGUAUGUUAUCAGAUCGUAUAAAUAAGGCUUCACACCUAAAAAUAUCAAGUUAGGAAUAAUUCUCCCCCAGUGCAGAAGUGAAAUUGGAGAAUUUGGAGCUAAAAUCCAACUCUCAAAACUCAAAUGGCUGAUGUUCAAGACUGCUGAAAUACAUUUUCUAACGAACAGUUUGAGCUCUCUAUAUGAGGCUGAACACUAACUUCAUUAUGUUUCUGCUGGACAGUAUCAUAGUAUUAAACAAAGUACAGUACCUGCUAGAUUGCAGUUAUCUAUUUUAGUGAAGAUUUUAGCUAAAUUAGUUUUUUGUUUGUUAAUUUGUUACUCUGUGAUCACACAGUGACAAUAAUGAGGAACGAAGUGAUUCUGUUUUGUGAAUUAGUGCACUUUAAACCUGUUUUUAUGGUGCAUUAAUGUAAAGAUGCAGUAAAUAUUCAGCAUAUUAUUUAUUGAUUAAGUUUUUGGAAUUAUUUAAUUUGAACUUUUUUUCCCCCUCACCUCAAAUGAGAGGUGCAACUCUCUAAUGAGUUCUCUCCGUGACAGUGGCCAAAGAUUGAGUAGAAUUGGAGAAAUAGAGACCUCUUGUGGGAGGUCAAAGGUACUGCAACAUGAUUUUCCUCUUACCCACAAGGCUUACCAGCCGUCCUACCUCAGUGCAAUAAGAAAUGCACUGCUGGUCAGUGACUCUCAUUAAUAACUGUACAGAAAUUGAAUGUUUGUUUUUUUUUUUAAAUAUCAGUGCAGCUAAAAAUAUUUUGUAGUUUUUUUUAUUGGGCAAUUUUUUUUUUUUUUUGAAAAUAAAAAAAUCCUUUUUUCCUCCAUGCUGUGUGCUGCAACUUUAGCAAAUCAUGGGUACUUCCUUCAUCUUUAUUGUGCUUUACAUAAUGCCUGAUUUAAUGUAUUUAUUAUGAAUAGUUUUAUAUCUUAUCACGGUUUGACAAUCACCUUAUUCCCCCAUUGAAAAUAUCACUGUAUAGCAUUAUACAGAUUAUCAUUGUUACACUGUAAAAAUUUUAAAAUAUCAUCAUUAGUUGAGGAUGUGAGGUAUUUGCGUUCAUUUUAAUAUAUAUAAAUUAAAAAUAUGACCAUAUAAGGACCUAUAAAUAAUAAAAUGAAGAAUUAGGAUGUUAAUAUUUGCUGUCAGGCAACAAGGCCUCUCCCAUCCAGACGAAGGCAUUAUGUAAAUGUGUUGAAUCACUUUUAACAUUUCGCUCCAGCACAUUAUUAUUAUUAUUAUUGCAUAUUGCUUUGUUUGAUCGAGCUGAAUUUACUUGGCUGAAAUAGCAAGGGAAUCGUUCUGUGUCAGGCAUACAUUUAGCUGUGUAGCAUCUAUCUUUAUUCGUGCUUUUACCUUCUCUUUCUUAUUUCCCCUUUUUUGCCACUUUUUGUCAAAUUCUGAAAUGUACCCGCAAGGAAAUGUGCAAUAGAUAAGAAACACAUCAUGCUUCAACAAGAGGAAAAAUAUCACAGAACGUGAACAAUGCCAUUACAUCCGAUGGGAGUAGAUAUUCCCAUUCAAACUGCCAGUCAUGAGCUUUUAACAUCAUUUCAAGUGUAUUAUUUUAAGUCUGUUUAAAAGAGCAGAUGUGAAAGGCCCUGAAAGCAUCGGAAAUCUCAUUGGACCAAAGCAGUCAUGUGACAUCUCAUUAUCUCCUGACGUGAUGGACUUUUAUAAUAACUAACAUGCCCUGGAUCAGCAGUGGACAGUGAUUUGUGAAUGGCAUGGCAGAAACCCGCUGACCCAUUCUGUAUUGACAUUACAGCCAUCUGGGGUCUUCUUCACAGAUGGAGAGUCAUGGGCCCAUCAUCAGGGGCCUCAGCGGCCCUGCUCUGGGCUGUCACGUUCGUGCCUGAAUGGAUUUUUGAUUCUUGUUUUUGUGCUGUUGUUGUUUUCUUGUUCUUUUUUUGUUUUCCCCUCUUGAGCGUGUCCCCUCUCUUCACCCACGUGGAUGCCUCUCUUGACAUUUACCCCACUGUUGUCAAACCAAGUCGGACUUUUUUUCCUCACCAAUCACCGCGGCGAAGGUGACAUUUGGAACUGCCGGCCUCGGCGGGCAAAGAGACGCCGGCGGGAGAGUCUCGGCGGUAAACAACAGAGCGGGGAGAUGAACGCUCCUUCAGGCCAUUUCAGUUCAAUCCAUCAACUUCCAGGAUGUACGCCAAAAAUAGAAAAACCUUUAUUUUUCUCUUUGCUGAGCCCCAGGCAGGCCUUAUCCACGUGCUACAGCUGAAUACGUCAUUGUGCUAAAGACUUCCUGUGUGUACAGGCAAAUACACAGAGUUGCCUGUUUUCGUUAGGGGGGCUUGUGUCCAUAAAUCCACCUUAAAGGAAUAGUCUGACAUGUUGGGAAAUACCCUGAUUUACUUAGCUACUUAGUUUAAGACAUGUCGUUACAGCCACUCAAAACUGUGUUUUGCUUAGUGUUACCUCACUUGGAUGUUUGGCCUUGACUGUGCAGAAUGAUGUUUUCACAGACAUCUGCUGAAGUUUCUCUGUGCUCACCUUAAAUCUGGGUUUGAGGCGUGUACGUGUCAGCUUGGAUUUUGUGACAUCACAGCUGGCUUUCGCUUUACUUUUUGCGUACAGACGCGAGAGCGGUAUCAGUCUUCUGAACUCUCGGCAAGACAGCGAAUAAGUGUAUUUCCCCGAAACGUCUAACUAUUCCUUUAAGUUACAGGCUUCAUUUUCACUCAUGGCCUACCAGUUCAGCCUAUCUCAGCUCCACUGCUCUCAAACCUGGCUGCAUCCACACGGCAGAAUAAAAAAGGGGGUGAGGUAAUAUUUUUGCAUUCCACCUGCAAAACCGAGUGGGUGCACGUAUGCCAACACACACUGAUGAUGAGGAGUCAGUCAUGCCAGAGGAAAUAUAUGAGUUUCCCGACAUAUUCCCGAAGGUUAGCCGUGUGAGACAGCUCCGCUACGCCGGCACCCUGUUUGAUUCCUCACUCGCUUUUUAUUUUAACAAAUGGACGGCACCUCUCAGGCGUGAAGCACCUUAAGCUCUGUAAUCCCAGACACUAGCUGCUGCCAUAGCAUAUUCCUCCUGGCUACACUUCCUUUCUGCUCCCCACCUCUCUUUCUUUCUUCCCUCCCUCCCCACAUAUUUCCAUCUCUCUCCUUCCUUGACACAGCCAAGCAGUCUAUUCCCGGUGAAAUGAUUGAGAUAUCUAGGAUGGUUUGGGGGGGUUUGUGUGUGUGCAUGUGUGUGUUUUUGCAUGAUGAGAUGGACUGUUUGCAGGUGCGCUCAGGAGAAGAGAAUUUGGAGGUCAAGGAGGAGAUUUGCGAGAGCAGGAUGCAGGGAGACACGAGAUGAAUCAGAUAGUGGAUUCUAGGAGACAAGAAUCGCAGUUGUUUGACGCACCAGCGGGCAUCAGCGGGAGCUGUCUCUGAGCUCCGGGAAAGAGGCUGUGUCGAGGAACGAGGCACGCCGCUGUGUCUCUGUGGCACUUUUCUUUGUCUCUGUUUGAAUCCCUGUUUCUAAUUAGCACAACAGUGUGUCUUAAUUAACCCUCGCCAGUCAGAUGAUCAAGAACGCUGCGGCUGCUGCCAUUCUGCGUGGGAGCCUCUGGUGCCGGUUGGAGCGCAGCCAUAUUUUUGUGGUGGAGGUGAGCUGUCAGAAGUGAUUGAUGUUGAGUUGCAGCUUAGGUAGAUUUUUAGCGUCGACGUUGCAUUUAUAGAAUCGAGUUUGUCACCAUCCUGCCGUGGAGAGCAGCGUGCCAAAAAAACCAACUUGGAAGCCCGAUGCCAUCAAGCUCUUGAUCUGUAAAUUCUGACAAAAACAAUCCGUUACCAGCAUGUCAGCCACACUAACAAACACACAGCGACAGGCCUCGAGUUGGACCAAAGGAGGUGCUAUUCUUUUCUUUUCUCUUUUCUUUUCCUUUUCUGUUACUGUUGUUGUUAUGCAACUUGUGUUUAACUCUCGCAAACUGCUUGUUUUCAAAAGAUAUGCCACGAGGAGGCUGAGGAGGCUUUAUUCCACUGUAAAUGUCGAUGAAUCAUCCAGUGAUGAGUCAUCUGGACACCAAGUCAUACAUGGUGACAAGGCCACACACUAAUCUGUUCAAAGUGUCAUUAUACUGUACACCAGUGCGCUGGGACGACAUGAAAGCAAACGCUGUCCAAAUUCCUUUCUGAUUGGAGACAUUCUGCACAUGUGCAUUAUUUUGAAAAUGGCAUUUUCUUAUCUACCGUUUCAUUUUGACAAGUCUUGUUCCUUUUUUUUUUUUUUUUUUUUUUUUUGUAUCUUGUACAUGUUUACAUUGUAUCUCACAUUGCCCGAAAGAGAAACAAUAUUAAAUGUAUUAUCCUUGUUGUUUUA